GACGAACGCUGGCGGCGUGCUUAACACAUGCAAGUCGAACGGAAAGGCCCUGCUUUUGUGGGGUGCUCGAGUGGCGAACGGGUGAGUAACACGUGAGUAACCUGCCCUUGACUUUGGGAUAACUUCAGGAAACUGGGGCUAAUACCGGAUAGGAGCUCCUGCUGCAUGGUGGGGGUUGGAAAGUUUCGGCGGUUGGGGAUGGACUCGCGGCUUAUCAGCUUGUUGGUGGGGUAGUGGCUUACCAAGGCUUUGACGGGUAGCCGGCCUGAGAGGGUGACCGGACUCCUGGGGACUAAGGCAGGCCCCAGGCCCCAAGGGGGGGCAAGGGGGGGAAGUAUUGAAGAGGGGGGGGGGGCGAGAGACGAAGACCCCGGGAGCGGAAAACGGGGUUGGGGGUGAAAAACAAAUUUCGCCGGAGCGAUGGCGGGCGUGACGGUAGGGGAUAAGAAAGCCCCGGCUAACUACGUG
rnacentral:rRNA from 1 species